GGAAAAUGGACUGCCGCUGCGGUGAGGCGACCGCAUAAAAUCAAAAUCAACCCUAAUAACCAGUAAAAAGCAGCCCAAAAAACGCUGGCAAGGGUAACCUCAAUACGCAGCUGAAAUCUGCUGCAAUCAGCUGCCAAAUCCAUCCAAAUAAAGCUCCGACAACUCACUGAAAACAGAUCCAAAAAGACACCAAAAACAGCACAAAAAGAGCUCAAAGUCUUCACCGCAACUCCAAUGAAAAGCAGUCCAAAUUACAGCUUUCUAUUUUCUGAAACACAGUAAACCAGCUGCCAAAUACCAUAAAAUCAGCAGGAAAACUCAAUUUUUGCUGCUUCAAGUCUGAGCGAAAAUAGAGCAAAAAAUGGGGUCUCUGGUGGGGUCACAUUCGAGCCGAUGAGCUGUCCGUCUGCAACUCUGAGAGGUUCUUGUCGAGUUUCUCUGGUGUGGUCAUAGUCUAUGGAUAAGUUUAGCUGCCAAUUCGUUGUAGCUACCAUGUACGUGGCUGGAGUUUUACUUUUUAAAUUAAUAUAAAGCUUCGAUCCUUAAGGUGCAAUCCCUUUCUUUCCUUACAGUUUCAAAACUUGGUUAACUUCAUGUUUGUUUAAAUAUAUGAACGCUGCCCCUAUGUUGUUGAUUUAAGUAGUUUGAGCAAACUGAUUAUUUGGAAUGUUUAAUGUUUCUUU
rnacentral:lncRNA from 1 species